CGGCGUUCUCUAAGGCCAGAAUGCGUGCUGUUGAGUUUUCUGCAGAAGGGUCCCCAGCCAGAGCCCUUCGCUCUACUCUGUCCUUCCCUGCACAGCCUGUUUGCUUUCAGUUGUCUGUAUGAUGGUGUUAAACCAAUGGACAAUUAGACGGCCUGUGCUAAAUCGAGACACUGUCCUAAGAGCUCUAUACAUAUCAACCAUUGAUCUUCACAAUAAUCCUCUGAGGACUGUGAGCUCCUGGGGCAUCUUCCCUGUCCUCAUAGUGCCUGGAACGGUGUUUCGUACACACAAAGCAC